rnacentral:rRNA from 1 species
AUGGCUCAGUGAGGCCUUCGGACUGGCUCCAGGAGGUCGGCAACGACCACCCAGAGCCGGAAAGUUGGUCAAACUUGGUCAUUUAGAGGAAGUAAAAGUCGUAACAAGGUCUCCGUAGGUGAACCUGCGGAGGGAUCAUU